ensembl:lncRNA SILC1 sciatic injury induced lincRNA upregulator of SOX11
AGUGUUUUGACGACUGCCUCACUAAAGGAAGCUAAAAGCUGUGCUGAUGCCUCCCAGACGAGCCUCGUUGGAAGCACAGAACCUUCACGGCUCGGAGCCGCUGACACCGUGACAAAGGGAGCCCUGCUCAGGAGAAAGAGCAAAUGAGAGGCAGUUGCACUUUUUCAGGUGUCAGGCUGGAGGAAGCCACUUGAAGAUGAAUCUACCUCUGCCUUAGGAUUGCCUGAUGGCCUGUGCCAUUCCAUGUUAUAUCUACUGAUUUGCUCCCUGUAUUCAAAGAUUUUUUUUUUUUACUUAAUUCUCUCUUACUGACCCUGAGAGUGACCAUAUUUUUAACCAAUUUGGUCUUCAGCCUCAAAACUUAGCUCUUUCCUUUUGUGGUCCCCGAAUCCUAUCACGUGUCAUGGUGGCUGUGAAGAUGUUUGCCAAGCCUGCUGAGAAGGCUCAUCUGUGGCAUCCAAAAGCAGAGAUUUCAACUCUGGACCCCUGUGACCUGCCUUUGUAAUUAUGGAUACCCAGCACUGUUUUGAAAUAUCAGUGGACAUCCAGUUUUUAAAAGCCCUCAGAGCUUUGGGAGACACCCCUUUAUCUCUCUGGCAUGUCAGAGAACCGAUUCAACCCUUCUCAUCUCCUCCUCCUUCCCUCUCUUGGGCCAUCAGGAUGCGGCAGCAACUCACUGUGCAUGUUUUUACAGCUCUUCUCCAGUAAUGCUGCCAUUUCCACUGCAGACCACAGGAUAAAAGGACCGCUUCACCGUGGCCCAGGAUACCCUUUUAAGUAGGAGAGAGGAUUAUUGGCAACUGGCACCACCCCCAUGUCUGGAGGAGGGACGUUUCUAGGAUGACCCCCAGAGUGGAGAAAUAGCCGAGUUCAUUCAUCAGGAGGAAGGGGAGUCAUUCCAGCCUUCACUGCCUGUGGACGGCAACAACUUCACUGUGGAAGACGCCAGUAGAGUCUGGACACAGCUGACCGUAAUGUUUAUUCAAUCAAUGACUGCAAAAACUUGGGCUUUUACUCAAGGACUUGAGGAGCUGUUGAAGAUUUCAACUGAGAAGCUUCGAGAGGAACCUUGAGACUGAGCUAGUGCCCUUCGAUGGCUGUGUGAAAGGAUGGACUUCAUGGGAGGAAAGAAUCCGACAAGCUGAGAGGACGCUAAAGAAAAAGAAAAGAGGCACUGAAGGACUGGGCUAAACAGUGAUGAUAGACUCUCAAGUUAUGGAAGAAGCACAUAAAUGGGGCUGAGCAGGUCGCUGGAGUUAGGGGAGUUGGAGUCUGCUUUGGCUACCUUGCAUGGAAAUGAUGCUGGUUGUUAAACCAAGGAAUACAGGAAAAAAAAGACACUGUUUAGAGAUGACAUCAUGAUUUCAGUGUGAGUCAAUUUCAGUAUGAGACACCAAUGAGACACUCAGGAGGAGUGGGCUAGUUAACCACCCACCAGUGCCUGGAGCUCAAGAGGAAUGUCAGGGCUGGGAUGAAGGUAAGUCAGAAACACUCCAGAACAGCUAAAAACCAAGUCUACAUGCAGUGAGAAUAACAGUAGCAAGAUAUAACUAUAUAAUACUGGUCAAUAAUAAAAUUUAAAGCAAACAAGAAGAAAACUAGGAAGGUAGACUUGGAGCAAGCAUGUAGAGAGAUAUGAGAGAUCCAGAAACAAGUCAAGUCCAGAAAGUUAACAUGGGGAGAGAGUGGAUAUAUGAUUUUCAGACACCAUAGAAAGUGUCUGUCCUACUAGCAUACAGCCCUAUCCACUGGUUACUAGGUGAGGCAAUAGAUGUAUUAAUUAGCUGGGUUGUGGGGAUAUUUCAAAAUGUAUACAUAUAUAAAAACAACACCUUGUACAAGUUAAAUAAAUAAAAUUUCAAUUCGUCAAUGAUACACCAAUAAAGCUAAAAACAAACAAACAAACAAAAAAGGUGGCCAGGUGCAGUGGCUCAGUCCUAUAAUCCCAGCACUUGUGGAGGCCAGGGUGAGCAGAUCUCUUGAGUCCAGGAGUUUGAGACCAGUCUGGGCAACAUGGUAAAACCCCAUUUCUAUGAAAAAUGCAAAAACAUUAAAGGUGGUGGCACAUGCCUGUAGUCCCAGCUACUCUGGAGGAUAAGAUGGAAGGAUUACCUGAGCCCAGGAGGUCAAGUCUUCAGUGAGCCAUGAUCACACCACUGCACUCUAGCCUGGGUGACAGAGGGAGACCCUGUCUUUAAAAAAAAGGAAAAGAAAAAGGAAAAGAACGGUGAGGAAUUGUCAAUGAAUGUGUAGGGGAGAAAAUGAAACAGAAAAGACUAUUUCUAAGUUUUUCAGCCUUCUUGUCUUGGAGAAAGAGGGAUUCUUUGAUAGAAAUAAGACUCUGGAAGAAGUAGUGCUUCUCAGCAUAUAAAAAUGCCUUUUUAAAAAAUGGUGAUUCCAAUUUCCCAAAGAAGAAAUAGUUUUAGAGUGUACCAGAAGACUACUAUAAACAUUACACCUAAUAUGUCUCUUUAAAUUUUGUGUAUUCACUUAGCAGUGAACUUUGCACACCUUCAUGUUAGUCCCUCAGUGAAUACUCACUCACUUUCACACCGCUAUGCCACCAAUGCAAUUACCAUUCCAGUGCAAACCCAACUGUGGUGGUCCUACCUCACCUGUCAGGAGCAAUUUCAUAACAGAGAGCAGCACUGAGGUCUCAUAUUACUAAUAUUUCAUUACAUUUACAAAAGAGACAAGAGUGCAUUCAUUAGUAUACUAUGAAAUAUUACCAUAAAUAAGUAAAAUUAAAUUAUACUUGUCAAAAUAAAUGAACACUGCACACACCAUGAUUCAGUGUCCCUAAUUCUUUUAAUUAUGUUUUUUUCUUACUUGCUAAUUUGUGAAAUUUGCUAACUCACAAUGGACUCCCUUGUCAUUAGUGAGAAUGAGUCUGAUUCUGCUGGAAUACAAAGGGCUUUGCACACCCUAUGUAGCAUGGCUCCUGGCAUUCUGUACCUGGAGCACCAUGUUGACUAAUUGGUGCUUUUUCUCAUGUCAAGCUUGUUGAAAGCUACAUAUUAAUUAUCACCUUUUGAAAUUGGUGAUUACAAGAUGAAUGUUAUCCGGGUAAAUGGAAGUGUACCAUUUUGCUCUAAAAUAGGAAAUUCCAGUGCAGAGUUAUAAUAGCUAAAAUGUUGCCCUAUUUUUAGUGUUGUACCUUGAUGUUUAAUGUAUGUUUUCUACGAAUGCAAAGAACAGACAAUUGUGCUAGUUUCAAAUUUGUUGCUCUGCUGAGUCCACAUUAAUGAUCCAUCACCUAGAAAAAUACAGAAGUCAUUUUGGCCUAUGUGAAGCAUGGUAAAGCUUUAAAUCCAGGCAAUAUUUAUUGGGUACCUACUUUUUGUAUGUAUGCAUUCUCCAGCAAUUGUAUAUAAAUUAUCUGAUUAAUCCUCACAAUAUUUCAGUGAGUUAGGCAGUUUGAGUUUCCUUUCAUGAAUAAGGAGUCUCAAAGGAGUUAGAUAGACUUCCCAAGUUCAUGCACCUGGUGAAUGACAGAUGGGAACAUACAUCUUUCCAUUACGUGUUUUACCUCCUCAUGGCUUGAUAUCAGCUUAUGUCAAACUGCCUGUAGAUUGUAUAUUAUUGUUAAGAAAUACAUGGAUUUGGAUGAUAAAGAAAUAGGAUACAUGAAGAGAAAGACUGGAGAGGGGGCGUAGGGGAAUCGUUAGCAGCAGGCAUUAAGGAAAGGCUUACGUAGCUGUGUCAUUUCUAAUUUUCAUUCUUUUUGUGUUGGAAAAAGAAUGAUGUUUAAGAAAAUUGAGGGCCGGGCGCGGUGGCUCACGCCUGUAAUCCCAGCACUUUGGGAGGCCGAGGCGGGCGGAUCACGAGGUCAGGAGAUCGAGACCAUCCCGGCUAAAACGGUGAAACCCCGUCUCUACUAAAAAAAAUACAAAAAAUUAGCCGGGCGUAGUGGCGGGCGCCUGUAGUCCCAGCUACUUGGGAGGCUGAGGCAGGAGAAUGGCGUGAACCCGGGAGGCGGAGCUUGCAGUGAGCCGAGAUCGCGCCCCUGUACUCCAGCCUGGGCGAC